rnacentral:lncRNA from 1 species
GAAGUCUGAAAGUCAAAACUUCUUCUUUGAAACUUGAAAGUGAAACCUUCUUCUUUGAAACACCAGUCCACUGCCAUCGACGUCCGACCCACCGUCCACUGUCCACCGUCGUCAACUCGUCCGUCCGUCACGCUGCAAGUCGCCACUCCCACGCCGCCAGCCGCCACCCAGGCCACCGCCACAGCAGCCAGCAGCACUGCCAGUCGUCAAUUGCCGCCCACCGGCUCUCCACAGGCCCACAACCACCCCUCUCAUUCAUCUCUCAACUCUCAUCUCUCGUUUUCGUCACUCGUAAGUUUCUUAUGCCUUUAUAAAACACAUCCAAAAAUAUAAAUAACAACAACAACAACAACAAUAAUAAUAAUAAUAAUAGUAGUAGUAGUACUAGUAGUGAAAGAAAGAAGAUAACCAAGUUUGUGAAAAUAUUUUUUUCUUUUCUGUGCUCUGCAAAUCAUUAUUUUUGUUAGUCUUAAUUGUAUGAUUUUUUUGUUUUUCCAUUAUUUGCUAAUACUAAAUGAUUUUUAUCUUAUGACUUUUUUUUAAUUAAUAAUUACAAUUAUAAAAUUAGAAUGAUUCUUUAUGAUUUACAAUAGAUGAAGAAAAUUUCAGUACUCAUAUAGAUUAAAAAUAAUAGUGUGGGUAAUAUUUUUUUUGGAGUUUUGUGUAGUCUUGUGUCUUGACUUUUCAUAGUUUUUUUAUUAUUAUAGAUUGAGUCGAUAUUUAGUUAUUACGAUGGCCGUUUUACCAUUUUUUAAUUAAAUUUGAUUAAAUCGAAACCGAACCGAAAUAAACCGAACCGAAUUUAUAAUAACCGAACCAAACCGAAUUUAUUUCGGUUUUGUUUGGUUUCAUAUUUGGCCAAACCGAAAAUCGAAAAUCGAAACGAUAUUUACGAACCGAACCGAACCGACCGAACGCCCAGGCCUAGCUAUAAAUGAUAAAUAUUUUUUAAAAUAUUAUAUAUUUAGGUAAGUUUCUCGCUUAAAUACCCCAAGGCGUAUCAUAGUAUAAUAAUGUCUAGGAAAGUUCAAAUUGUUAAACCGAUUUGAUUAACAAUAAAUCUAUUGUAUUUAUGUGGGGCCUAUUGUAUUUACUUAAUACAUCAUUCUUCAAAAAGUUAAUUAUUUUACUUGAUUUUAUGAUUAAUUGGAUAGUUUGAUUGGAUUUGGCCCUAAUAUGAUCUAUAUAAUUAUUGUGGCAUCUUGUAUUGUUCUAUGGGUAAAAUUGGUAUUUAAAAACAAUUAAAGUGGUUCGUGUUGUAAAAUCAGGAUUAUAGGAAGAAGACAAGAGAAAUAGAUGUAGGAGAAGACUUUCUUCUUAUUCAAGUAUAUAUAAGUUUCAUAUAUAUAUAUAUAUAUAUAUAUAUAUAUAUAUAUAUAUAUAUAUUACAAUAGUGAAUGAACAACCCUAUUUAUAGAGUGAGAAAUCAUUCCAAAGGUCACCAUAUUAAGUAUCAUAAUAAAUAGAUGCAUACUUAUCCAAAAAGGUUCAUGUAACCUAGUGAAUAUGAAUGGUUGUUCAUGUACUAACUUUAUGGACUAUCCACUUAUUUAAUGGAUUUAUAACACUCCCCCUUGGAUGUCCAUAGAUACUGUGUCUCGUUAAAACCUUACUAGAAAAAAAAACCCUGUGGGAAAAAAUUCUAGUAAAGGAAAAAGAGUACACAUAUCUUUUGAUACGCAUUAUUUGCUGCCUCAUUAAAAACCUUUCUAGGAAAACCCAAUGAGACAAAACCUAGAUUAAGGAAAAAAGAGUACAGUGCGUAUUUUACUCCCCCUGAUAAAAACCACGAUUCAGAUGGUUAAGUUUCCGCAUUCCAAUUUUGUGAACCAUCUUCUCAAGAGUUGAGGCGGUAAAGAUUUAGUAAAUAAAUCUGCUGGAUUAUCACUCGAACGAAUUUGUCGCACAUCAAUAUCACCAUUCUUCUGGAGAUCAUGUGUGAAGAAUAAUUUUGGUGAAAUGUGUUUCGUUCUAUCUCCUUUUAUAAAGCCUCCUUUUAAUUGAGCUAUGCAUGUAACAUUGUCUUCAAAGAGUAUUGUGGGUAUCUUGACGUCACACUUCAAACCACAUCUUUCUUUGAUAGAAUGUAUUUCUGAUCUUAACCAUACACAUUCUCUACUUGCUUCAUGAAUGACUAUUAUCUCAGCAUGAUUUGAAGAAGUAGCGACAAUAGACUGCUUCGUAGAUCGCCAUGAUAUAGUAGUACCUCCAUAUGUGAACAGAUAGCAUGUUUGUGAUCGAGCUUUAUGUGGGUCAGAUAAAUAACCUGCAUCUGCAUGACCAACAAGAUCUGCACUAUCUUUGUUAGUAUAAAAUAGACUCAUAUCACUAGUUCCCCUUAGAUAUCGCAAUAUAUGUUUAACUCCUUUCCAAUGUCUUCGUGUAGGGGAAGAACUAUAUCUUGCUAACAAAUUAACAGAAAAUGCUAUGUCAGGUCUCGUAGCAUUAGCAAGAUACAUAAGUGCCCCAAUUGCACUAAGAUAAGGUACUUCUGGACCAAGAGGUUCCUCGUUCUCUUCUUGAGGUCGGAAUGGAUCGUUACUCACUUCAAGUGAUCGGACAACCAUUGGAGUACUCAAUGGAUGUGCUUUGUCCAUGUAAAAUCGUUUCAAGAUUUUCUCAGUAUAGUCAGAUUGAUGGAUGAAGACCCCGUCUACUAAAUAUUCUAUUUGUAGUCCAAGACAAAUUUUUGUCUUUCCAAUGUCUUUCAUCUCAAAUUCUUCCUUUAGAUAUUCAAUUGCCUUUUGAACCUCUUCUGGAGUUCCAAUGAGAUUAAUGUCAUCAACAUAAACAUCAAGAAUAACAAACUCCAAUGUUGU